UACGUAGGUGGCAAGCGUUGUCCGGAUUUACUGGGCGUAAAGAGCGCGCAGGCGGUCGAGUAAGUCGAAUGUGAAAGCCCCCGGCUUAACUGGGGAGGGUCAUUCGAUACUGUUUGACUUGAAGGCAGGAGAGGGCAGCAGAAUUCCCGGUGUAGUGGUGAAAUGCGUAGAUAUCGGGAGGAACACCAGUGGCGAAGGCGGCUUCCUGGCCUGUUCUUGACGCUGAGGCGCGAAAGCUAGGGGAGCAAACGGG
rnacentral:rRNA from 1 species